GACAGUGGCAAGCUACACUGCAGUCGACGGUAAUCUAUGUUCACCUUGGCUUGGUCCCCGGCAGAAGAGGAGUGACUAACGGGUGAGUAACACGUGGGUAAGCCGGCCAUCACAAGGGGAAAACGGUUGCUAAACACGUACGAAUACCGUAUAACAAUCGAAACCGCAUGGUUUGGAUCUUACAGGCGCAUUUAGGUGUCGCUCAUUGAUGGACCCGCGGUGUAUUAACGAAUUGGUGAAGCAACGGCUCAACAACGGACACUGAUGCAAAACCGACCUCGAGAGGGAGAUCGACCACAUUCGGGAACUGAGACACGGCCCGGACUCCUACCGGGAAGGCAUCUUUAGGCGAGUCUUCGGCAAUGGACGGAACGUCUGACCGAGCAACGCCGCGGUAGUCAAGAAGGUUUUCGGAUCAUAAAACUCUGUUGUUAUACAAGAACAAGGAUGAGAGUAACUGUUCAUCCCUUGACGGUAUCUAACCAGAAAGCCACGGGUAAACUACAUGCCAGCAGCCGCGGUAAUACGUAGGUGGCAGGCGUUGUCCGGAAUUUAUUGGGCGUAAAAGCGAUCGCAUGCGGUUUCUUAAGUCUGAUGUGAAAGCCCCCGGCACAACCGGGGAGGGUCAUUGAAAACUGGGAGACUUGAGUGCAGAAGAUGACAGUGGAAUUCCAUGUGUAGCGGUGAAAUGCGUAGAUAUAUGGAGGAACACCAGUGGCCAAUGCUGCUCUCUGGUCUGUAACUGACGCUGAGGCUCGAAAGCGUGGGGAUCAAACACGAUUAGAUACCCUGGUAGUCCACGCCGUAGACGAUGAUUGCUAAGUGUUGGAGGGUUUCCGCCCUUCAUUGCUGCAGCUAAGGCAUUAGGCAGUCCUCCUGGGGAAUACUACAACUGGGUUUAAACUCACAGGAAUUGACGGGGGCCCGCAAAAACGGUGGAGCAUGUGGGUUAAUUCGAAGCAACUCACAGAACCUUACCAUGUCUUGACAUCCUUUGACCACUCUGGACAUAUAACUUCCCCUUCUGGAGGAAAGUGACAGGUGGUGCAUUGCGUGUCGUCAACUCAUGUCGGGAAAAGUCGGGUUAAGUCCCGCAACGAGGGCAACCGUUAUUGUUAUUUUCCAGCAAUCAUUUGGGGCACCUCCGAGGACUACCGGGAAAAAACGGGAGGAAAGUUGGGGAUAACUUCAAACCUACAAGCCCCUUAUAACCACGGGGUACAAACGGGGUAAAAUGGAGGGUUCUACAACAUUUCGAAACUACGGGGGCUUCCCUAUCCUCUAUAACAAUAGUCAAGUCCGGAUGGCAGUCUGCAAUUGGCCUGCAGGAAGUGGGAAUCGUUGGUAAUCGGGGAUCAGAAGGCCGCGGUGAAUACGUUCCCGGCCCUUGUACACACCCCCCGUCACACCAGGGGAGUGGUACCACCAGAGGUGGUAGGGUUACCCUUAGAGCCGUCGCUUAUGUGGUACGUAUGGUAAA
rnacentral:rRNA from 1 species